UACGUAGGGUGCGAGCGUUGUCCGGAAUUAUUGGGCGUAAAGGGCUCGUAGGCGGUUUGUCGCGUCGGGAGUGAAAAACAUCCAGCUUAACUGGGUGCUUGCUUUCGAUACGGGCAGACUUGAGGUAUGCAGGGGAGAAUGGAAUUCCUGGUGUAGCGGUGAAAUGCGCAGAUAUCAGGAGGAACACCGGUGGCGAAGGCGGUUCUCUGGGCAUUACCUGACGCUGAGGAGCGAAAGUGUGGGGAGCAAACAGG
rnacentral:rRNA from 1 species